rnacentral:lncRNA from 1 species
UUUGGCUUUUUUUUUUCAUUUUUUUUAUAAGAUUUAGGGUUUUUUUAUUUUAUUUUAUUUUAUUUAUUUAUUUAAAAUUUGCCAUUUGGUAGCCACAUUAGCACAAAUGUGGCAGCCAUGUCAGCAUUUAACAGAGAAAUGGAUGGAAAAUCUAACGGAGGUAUUAUUUUGAAAUAAAAUGGCACUUGAGGUAUAAAAGUGAAAUGUUUUAAAGAUGUUGUAUGGGCUUGUAAUAGACCCCAAACCUAAGGGGUUACUAUGUAAUUUACUCUAAAAUCUAGUACUUUUAUAAAAACAUAGGGUAAAAAAUAGACGUAUAAAAGCAUAAUGUUUAAAUACAUAUAUGUAAUACCGUAGAAAUAGUUGUACUGAAUUCAAAAUUGAGCAUAGAAAUUUUUUUACCUACACACUUGUAGCAUAUCGUACUCCAAAGGUAUGUAUGUUGUAUCUUUGGAUUGAGCCCAAAUAAUAAAUAAGUAACUAAACGUAUAAACAACUAAAAUACUAACGUAAACGGAUCUAAAUGUCCACUUACUCAACGAGUUCAACAAAUAAGUUAUCAAUACUACGGUAUGCAGCCCUCAAUACCAACAACUCAUUGUUGUCCCGAUAAGUAAGUAACAAAAUCCCGAGGGUGCAAUAUUACCAUCAUGCCCCCCAUUGAGAAAUACACAUAAAUUGUCUUAUCAAAGCCUUGAUCGUGCUCGCGUACUACCCUCUCGGGCAAUAUCGUUGAUAAUAUACAAUUUUCUAUAACAGAAUCUCAACCAUUCAGAUACUCGUUCGUAAUACUCACCUGCUGAUUAUGCAUUGUGCAUAAAGUCUCCUUACAAUGUCUUAAACUGUGUCAUACCCAAAAAUCAAAAGUGUAACCACAGUUACACACAACCCUAAUAAAAUAAAUGUUCCAAGUAUGCAGAACGAAUAAAACGCAACACGUACACGAAGGUUUGUAUAGUUUGUUGAGACUAACCAUCAAUCUAAGAAUUAAGUGCAGUACUAGGUAACAACUUCGUACUCAUAGCCUUCAAGAAGACUUCUUAAUGCUUGGAAGUGAACCAUGCAUCAUAAGAUACAAAAGUGACAAACAUACCAUGUAGUCGUACAAUGUAGUCCAUAAUGCCUUAGCGAGCAUCUUCAUAUUAAAUUCCUCUCGAAUUUAGCGGAAAAAAAAAAUAUGUCAAGAGGCUAAAAGAACACUCAAGGAGUUUGACAGUCAAAACAAGUCCAACAAGUCUCAAAUAUAAGGUAACUAAAAUUAAUGUAUGAUAUCUCGCUACAAUGGUAGCUUCAGGAAUAUUCCAUCACCAACGGUAAAGAUUCAUUUAGUAAAGUAUUUGUUAGGUGAUUGAAGAAUUACUAAUCACAACUACAUUUCAAUAUCUGAGCAAUUCCUUUAGACAAUUUCUCUAUUUUAAGAAUAAUACAAAGUGUAGUAGGAUAGACACGGACCCAAGAUUGACUAGAAUAGCUUCCAGCACAACGAGGUGAACAUGGAAUCCCCAUCAGAAUAGACGUUGGUCUAAACACCCAUGAAAUUCAAGAAUGAGGAAUUUUACCAAAUGGUCUAAAAUGUAGUCCCUCUGGACCAAUAAAAAGUGGACUAACUUGUCGUGUCGGUCAAUGGUCACUGAAAGAUCAUCAUAACUCCACAUGUACAAGAUACCUCAUAUUGGAAGCUUAAGGGUGAUAUUUCCCAUCCUUAUACAGAUACAAGAUGUGAUUAUAACCAUCUAACAAUUUAUUGAUAUCUCACGAGUAACGUCAAAACAAUACUUUUGAAUUCCAACUGAGGUGGGAUAGGACAAGCUAAAGGUGCUCAGUAACUAUGUUUGCACCACCAGGGUAAUACACGAUAGUGUAAUCGUAGGCGUUGAUUUGGCUCUUCCAAUGUCGCUAUCAGAAAUUUUAGCUUAUCUCAAAUGAAGAUGUAUUUGAGAAAUCUAUGGUUGGUAAAGGUUUUAGACACAUUUCUCACUGAGAAGUGUCAUCCAAUAUUUCAAAUGAAGAUGACAACAAUUGACUCUAAGUCAUGAAUAGAUGAGAAGGUAGUCAAUAAGACCACUAUGAAUUCGUCAGACCAUGGAGGCAGACUCAGGUUACAAAGGUUGGUCGGUUAGACCAUCAGCUCGAAGUAGGGAAUAACGAUCACCCAAUCAAGUUGCUAAAGUCUAGGUACAAACCUAAGGUUCAGUCUUUCGCCUUCGCAAAUAUGUUUAAAAUUCCCUAGAUAAAGUGUUUGGUUGGAUAAUUCCCUAAUCGAUAAGCUUUAGUGACUAAGUUCUCUCAAUGAAGGAGGACUUAUUCGAAAAGUCAUAAAGAAAACUAGUAUAAGAGUUGUUCGAUAAGAAAUAAGGAGAAUAAAUGUGGUGUUAACAAGAUGAAUCACUAAUGUAUUCCACUUCUUGCAUUUGGUGGCAUUCCAAGUAGAAUUUUGAGAAAUGAUGCCAAAGGUAUACCUUCUCGAACUGUGCUAAACUACUAACCAACUCUACGACACGAACUAAAAGGUCUUCACAAUUUUCUCGACACUCUAAACAUUCUAACAGUGGGAUGUCAUUUCGUAUUUUGAUCCGACUGUCUACCUAUGAAAGUGAUCGAGAAGUGGCUAGUCGAAGAGCUUUUGAUUACCUAAAUAGGUAAUAUGGUUAACAUAACUGUGAGUUUACUAUCUUAAUACAAGGUUUACUUGAUGUGAAAUUUAACUAGCACUCAAAUUAAACCCUCUUAUUGACAAUUAUAGUAAAGAUGUAAGUAGGGCUCGUUCUAGGCCGGGGAUUAGAAGGGAUUGCUAAUCUACUUAAACUGUCUAAAAAACACUAAACUAGGCUUGAAAACACUUAGCUAGACUCAAAGAACUCAAAACAAACUAAAAAAACUCAAAACAGCACAAAACAAUCAAAUAGACUCAAACUAGACACUAGAGGGUCAAUUGGACGAAAAUUGAUUUGAACUUGACUCAAAACACUUAAAAACACAAAUUGGACAUAUUCUAACUAAAUUGGACAUAUGAGGUAAAAUUCCCUUAUAUUCUAGCAUCAAAUCCCUGCAUGCAAACUAAGUGUUCACCCUUAAUUAACAAACAAGAAUAAGUUCUGAAUCAAACAGUUAAGUAAAUUGCAUUCACGAUUCAUGAAAUCACAACUGGAAGUAAUCAAUUCAUAUUGCAAAUAUGUUCAUGGCUUUGAAUUUCCCCUAGCUAAAACGAGUUUAGCUCAUCAUGUUUGCAAUUAAACAAGGACAAUUAAAUUUAAACAUUGAAACAAUAGAUAGAAUACACCUAGAAACGCUCCAACAAUCCAACAAUCCAACAAUCCAACGUCUUGAAUGGCAAGCACGGCUCCAGGGGUCUCCUCUUCUAUCUCCUUGCAAAGUUGCGGCACAAUGGGAUGAAUGUGUAUGAGGGAUGUAUGGGACGAGCUUUUGGUGAAUGGUGGGUGGUUUCUGAUUGUUGCAGCACUUUAUAUUUAUAGGGAGAGGAGGAUGCACGACAUAGGUUGAAAAGGAGGAGAAUUAGGACUCCAAAUCAUCAAGGAAUAAGGAUACUUCUAAUCAGAUUCCAGGGAGGAAAAGAAAUAAUGUGUUUAGAUGGAUUAGGACUCCUAAAUUCAGAUGGGAAGGAUUUAAAAUAGGAUAAGGACUCAUUUUGCAGCUGGAGAUAAGGUAGGAUACGAUUAGGAUAGGAUAAGAUAAGAUAAGGUUAAUUUGGAUAAGAUAAGAUUGGAUAAUGUUCCUUCUUUUUAGCUGAAUCCUUAUCUUCUUUGUCCUGAAUUUAUUAACUUGACACACAAAUUAAACUCUAUUGUUGACAAUUGUAGUAAAGAUGUAAGUAGGGAUCGUUCUAGACCGGGGAUUAACUAGGGAUGUUAAUCAACACAAAUAAGACUCAAAACACUAAACUAGACUCUUAUGACAAAAAAAAAAAAACACUCAAAACAGCAACAAACAAUAAAAAAGACUCAAUUCUAGACCUAACAAGUGAUUUGGACGAAAAUAAAACUUAACUUGACUCAAAAGACUAAAAGAAAACAGAUUAUGACUCAAUUAACAAGACUUAAUGAAAGGGGGAUUGUUUUUGACGAAUUUAAAACUUAAAACAGAAACUUUGCAUAAUACACUUUAAGAAAAUGAAUUUGAUGAAUUGAAAAGGGUAAAAGGCUAGUUAGAUGGUCUUUCUCCACACAUGACAUAUGCAUAUAAACCAAUUUCCAGUAUUGUUCCCUUAAAUCAUGAAUGACAAAACCCCAAGUUAACCGUGAUAGCAAAAAUUAAUCAUCAUAUUUUCCUUGUUUCAUUGAAUUGGACGGGAUACGCAUCACAACCAAAUUAUCCUUCUCAAGUUCCCUAACUAUGAAAAGCAUGAUAGAAAACAUAUCAAAGGUCAUUAAGUUCUUUGAAAAUCAUAAGCAUUGACGAGGCAUUCGUAACUAUGAAAAGCAUGAUACUCCUGCCUAGGAUUUACUUAACACGAUUGUGACUAGCAACCUUUACUACUUGUGAAUAUAAGUUCAUAACGAUUAGGUGAAACUCCCUUGUACUCUAGCAUCAUAUUCAUGAAAGCAAAUUAAGUGUCGACCCUCAACUAACACACAUAAACAAGUUUUAAUAACUCAGAUAAGCAAACCACAUUCAAGACUCAAGAAACAAUAACUGGAUGUAAUCAAUUUAUAUAAAAACAUAUAAUCAUGGCUUCGAAUUCACCUCCAACUAAAAAGAGAUUAGUUCCUCAUGUCUUUAAAAACAUAAAACCAAAUUAAAAGCAACAUUGAAACAAAUAUAAGGAUAGAAAGAACCAAGAAUGUCCCAGCAACUCUAAUGGUAGAUUUCAAACUCUCCCUUGGAUUGCAAGCCACGGCACAAGCUUCCCCUUCUCCUUCCUCAACGCAAGUACACCUUUUGAACUCUCUGAUAUCUCUCAAUUUUUCUCUGAAUAUAUGUGGGUGCGUGGGUGAUAUAUUUGUGCAGCAAAGAUAUGUAUUUAUAGGGCUGAGAUGCGGCACAAAGGUAGCAUAGGAGAAGGAUUGCACAAUCCUUGAGGAAAAGGACUAAGGUUUGGCAGAAUGAUGUGAAAAUUAACUUGACACACAAAGUAAACCCUAUUAUUGACAAUUGUAGUAUUAAGCAAGUAGGGAUCAUUCUAGACCGGUGAUUAACUAAUUAACUAAGGAUGCUAAUCAACACAAAUAAGACUCAAAAAUACUAAAUUAGACUUCAAAACACUUAACUAAACUUAAAAACACUAAACAAGACUCUUAGGACUCAAAACUGACUCAAAACACUCAAAACAGCAAAACAAACUUAAAAAGACUCAAAGCAGGUUCUAGGGACUAUUUGGACGAAUUUAACACUAAUGAGACUCAAAACACUAACUUAGACAGAUUUAAACACUUUUCUAACUAAACUAAGACACUUAAUUGAAAGGGGAGAUGAUUUGGAAGAAUUUGAUUAAACUAAAUAGAUUGUAAACUAAAGCAAACUAGAUAUGAAAUUGGGUGAAUUGAAUGGUGAAAUAGGUUAGUUAAAGGAUCCUUCUCCAACAUAAAAAUAUGCAACAUAAAUCGAUUUCCAGUAUUGUUUCUUUAAACCAUGAAUGACAAUGCCCCAAAUUAAUCGUGAAUGCACAAAUUAACUCUUACAUUUCCCUAAAUUCAUUGAAUUGAAUGGACAACGCAUCGCAACCAAAUUAUUCUUCUCAAGUUCCCCAUAUGAACAACAUGAUAGAGAUACAUUCAAAGAUCAUUAGGUUCCAUGGAAAUCAUAAGCAUUGACAAGGCAAUUAUAACUAUGAACUGCAUGAUACUCUUGCCAAGAAUCUACUUAACACGAUUGUGACUAACAAUCUCCACUACUUGUAAUUAUAAGUUCCUAACGAUUAGGUGAAAGUCCCUUAUAAUUUAGCAUCAGAUUCAUGUAUGCAAACUAAGUAUGCAUCCUUAAUCAACACACAAGAAUAAGUUAUCAAUCAAAUAGAUAAGUAAAUCACAUCCAUGUUUUAUGAAACAAUAACUGAAAGGAAUCAAUUCAUAUUAAACAUAUGUCCAUGGCUUCGAAUUCACCACAAACUAAUAAGAACUUAGUUAUACACGUCUUUAAAAACUGAAGAUAACAUUAAAUUAAACAUUGAACUAAAACUAAGGAUAGAAUACACCUAGAAACGCUCCAACAAUCCAAACUUGAAUGGCAGUCACGACUACAAGGGUCUUUUCUCACUCCUUCCUUGCAAAUCUAUGCAAAAAUAUGUAUUUUCUGAUGUUUUGGCUCUUGUAUAUAUGGUGUGGAUGAAGGGGAUGAAUUUGUGAUGAAAGGUGGGUAGAGGGUGGUGAUCUGAAAUAGGUGCAUAAUGAUGUAUUUAUAGAGCUAGGUGCGGCACAAUCCCUAAGGAUUAGGAUAGGUUAAUGAAAUCAAAGUGGGAUAAGGUUUAUGUAACCAAAAUCCAAGUGGAAUGGGUUAAAACAAGCAGAACCAAAGGGGAUUAGGUUUACACAUAAAAAACCAUCAGGAAUAAGGAUAUAGGGUGCGGCACAACUAGGAAAAGGGGUUCUAGAAGGGAUUGGGGCGUCACUUUUGUAGGGAGAGGAGAUAAGGCUUCUAGAAUCUGAAAUAUGUAUUUUAAAUGCAUAAUUAUCCCUUAUAAAUGGCUGGAAUUAAGGCACAAACUGAUUUGGAUAAGAUAAGAUUGGAUAAUGCUAGAUUAGGAAAGGAUAAGAUAAGAUAAGGUUAGUUUGGAUAAGAUAAGGUUGGAUAAGGUUUUUGGAUAAUGUUCCUUCUCUUGAGUUGAUUCCUUAUAUUCUUUGUCUUGGAUUUAUUUUCUUCAUCUUUUCAAAAAAUUCAUAGCCUCUUGAACUUCAAAUUCGUCCAUCCAUCUUGCUCCAUUCAUCAGCUAUCCAUUUGAUGCCCAAAACUGCCUCAAAAUGCUCCAAAUUGCACUUUCUUGCCAACUUUGUCAUUUGGACUUACAAACACACGAAAAUAGCUUAAAUCACUAUAAUAAACACAAACUAACUACGAAAAUGCAAGAAAACAAGCUAACUAAGUCGCAUAAAUAUGCUCCUGUUAUAGAAAUCCAAAAGGAAAAGGAUUAAAGGUUCACAGAUUCUAAGGCUUCUAAAACAAGGAAAAACACCAGAUUUAUAGGGUCUUCUUUAAAGGUUGACACGGCACCAAUUUAGGGGUUCUAGAAGAGCAAGGGUGCGGCAUAUAUGUAGGGGAAGGAUAAGCCUUCUAGAAAUCAAAUAUUUAGGUCCUCUUGUAGCUGGAUUUAAGGCACAAACUGAUUUGGAUAAGAUAAGAUAGGAUAAAGCUAGAUUAGGCAAGGAUAAGAUAAGAUAAGGUUUGUUUGGAUAAGAUAAGGUUGGAUAAGGUUGGAUAAGGUUUUGGAUAAUGUUCCUUCUUUUGAGCUGAUUCCUUAU